CCUGGAAACAGAUGCUAAUACCGGAUAACAACACUAGACGCAUGUCUAGAGUUUAAAAGAUGGUUCUGCUAUCACUCUUGGAUGGACCUGCGGUGCAUUAGCUAGUUGGUAAGGUAACGGCUUACCAAGGCAAUGAUGCAUAGCCGAGUUGAGAGACUGAUCGGCCACAUUGGGACUGAGACACGGUCCAAACUCCUACGGGAGGCAGCAGCG
rnacentral:rRNA from 1 species